rnacentral:rRNA from 1 species
CUACGGGGGGCUGCAGUGGGGCGUAUUGCACAAUGGGCGCAAGCCUGAUGCAGCCAUGCCGCGUGUGUGAAGAAGGCCUUCGGGUUGUAAAGCACUUUCAGCGGGGAGGAAGGCGUUAAGGUUAAUAACCUUGGCGAUUGACGUUACCCGCAGAAGAAGCACCGGCUAACUCCGUGCCAGCAGCCGCGGUAAUACGGAGGGUGCAAGCGUUAAUCGGAAUUACUGGGCGUAAAGCGCACGCAGGCGGUCUGUCAAGUCGGAUGUGAAAUCCCCGGGCUCAACCUGGGAACUGCAUUCGAAACUGGCAGGCUAGAGUCUUGUAGAGGGGGGUAGAAUUCCAGGUGUAGCGGUGAAAUGCGUAGAGAUCUGGAGGAAUACCGGUGGCGAAGGCGGCCCCCUGGACAAAGACUGACGCUCAGGUGCGAAAGCGUGGGGAGCAAACAGGAUUAGAUACCUGGUAGUC